UGGGGUGCUGUGGAAACCUGAUCCCGGCUGGGAGCAGAGUGCAGCACUGCCAUGGUGUGAUGCUCACUUCUUGGGAUCUCUAACCUUCCGUAGAGAUGAGUGAACAUAGUGUGUGGGUUUUUCUCCUCAUCCAAGUUCACAGACUCCUAAAUUCUACUCCCUGAAACUUGAAGGGUCUGUCAACACCGGGACAAGGAUCCUGCUCUAGGCCAGUCUCCAGCUGUCCUCAGGGGGGAGGAGAAUUCCCAAUCUAAGCCCCCUCCAUCCCCUCAGCAGGGAAAGGGGAGGGAGAGAAAACAAACCAAGGAAACAAAACUACUUUUCCAAAUUCCUUUACCUGCAGACAAUCCUUUUGCUCUAUAAUUGGAGAAUGGUCUAAAAGGCAGGUUCUGUGUUAGAAUAUGGGGAUGAAUAGGUUUCAACCACAGGACAAGUGAUCACUUUCUAAGGUUCAUGAGAAGUCGAAGGCGUGCAGCGUGAUGGCCCUGGCCAAGGCUGGGAGGGAGGGGCUGGCUGAGGCUGCAAAUCCAGGAGCAACAUUCUGAAAUGUAGGUUUUCUUUCUCUGCUUCCUGAAAAGGCAAAGCUGUUUCAAAGCGCUUUAUGGUCUCUCCAGGUGCCCGCAGCCAGCUUAGCAGGAAUUCUGGUUUGGAUUUUCUUCUUAUCCUGACAGUCAUCACUAACUUCUGGCAACCAAGAUCCUGAUCAACUAAUUCCACCCACUGCAUAAUCCCCAAAGCAGAACUAACAAGAAACAACAUCUGCUGGUUACAGCAGGGUGACAUACAGCAUUUUUGUUUUUACAAAACUUGAGUUCAAAAAGAACCUUCAAAAUUAAAAUUAACAUUGAAGGACCUGGACGAGAGCCCACUGCUGCCAGACUAUGUUCUUUAAGAACAAACAGAACAGGCCACUCAAGAACUUCUUCGCUGAAGACCCGGGGUUCACUUUUCCUAAAGCUGAUCGGGGCCUAAGUAAGAGUUUAAACUCAAGACUGAAUGCUUUGUUCUAUUUCUGUCACCUACUUCUGGGAACAAAAGCUGCUUAUAUGUAACUGAAAUUUAAAUCAAUAGCUCAGGAAGAACAGUUGAAGAAUGAAUAUAAUUAAAGAGGCUUUGGGGUUUUAAUCACUAUUUCUGUAUUUCUUUCAAAAUUGAACAGUCCCUUCUAUCACAAACUUGUUCACCUAUAGUAGAUAAGCUGCCUGGCUGCUCAUACCCACACCAGAAUCACCACGUCCCACAAGCUCGCCUUCCAGAUACAUUUACCUCGUGCAAUCAUGAGGGCUUCGGAGCACUUUCUCAAGCCGACUACUUAGCAGGUGUUGCUAGCAGACUAUCCUACACCUACGGGCAUUCCCAUAAAUACUGUCUGAGUCAAAACGCAGCGGAUUGGCACUCAUUUACAGCGACUGUUUACAAGUGGUAGUGAAAAGAAAGAAGGAGAAAGCUUAAAUGUUAGCUAGUGUUUAAAGUCAGUCACACUUCCCAUGAUCCGGUCAGCUUGUACCACACGCAUGGAGAUUUCCCACGUGUCCUAAGGCAACGUCUGCUUUCCUAACCCCUCUCUGACCCUUGCCACCAAGCGUCCAUGGGAAGAGAGCCCAAAGCCAUUGGAAGGUGUACAGAGAACAUCAAGCUUCACCCAGUCCCACUGCUCAAACUCAGUGUUGGAUCUGGUCUGAGGCCACCAGAUCCACGUUCUUUACACUGACUGCUUACUUACGGCCUCCCUAAGCCAAAGGAGAAUUAGUACCUUGGACAAUUUCCCCCACAGAGCUUGGUAAAUUUACUUACCCUGACAAUUUAGCAAAGAAGAAACAACAAAAGAAAAUACCACGGUAAAUGUUUCUGCCCAUUCUGUACCAUCACUAGGCUAAUAAAAACUCACUGUUUCUUAGAGUAUUAUACAAAAACUAAAUGAUGGAAAAUGCUACUUUGAAUUAAAAGUUUUGUCUAAUAUGUCCCCAUUUUUAUUAUUUCUUUUAAAGAUCAAACUGAAGCUAUCAAACCAGUGAAGACAUUUGGUUAAGGACUAAA